UGUAGGCACUAUGACCCGGAGCAGGGGGACGGAUUAAAGAUAUGGGCUAACAUGCACUCUGUUGUUUCAGAAGCAAAUAAACACGUUGUUUUAACUCCAUACUUUUUGCCUCCACAGAUUAAACUCGCCAAAUAAUGAGACGGUCACCUCAUUUUAGUGGAGCACUGUCCAUAAGCCCGGAAUUGCGCGAUGAAGGCCUGGAUAAAAAUGACUUUGUUGAACCCACCCUGAAAUUCCAGGAGGGUACAGGCUAUUUCCAAUCGGGCACAUGCCACAAAAUCUGAAGUCGUCUGAACUGCACUGAUGUCUCCCACUGAAAGGAGAUGUUCAGCAAACUGCAAAUAAGAAUAAAUACUUUUCCCAUUCACAGCUGGAUGGUAAGUUCUCAUAUUCUGCCGCUUAAAGUGGGCAUGGUAGCUAUUUAUUCUGUUCUGUUGGGCUCUUGAAUUAUUACACUGUAAAUUAUAAUUAGAAUGGGGGUAAAGAAAAUUUACAUUUAAAAAAGGGAAAUCUAAAGUUUACAGUUUGCAAAGCUAGAUUUUACAAAUGAUUUUAGAAGAUUUUACAAUCUUUUUUCUCAGUAUGUCGAUGUGCACUCAUAAAUGGCCGUAUUGUCAGCGGAGAGGAUGCCCCAGACCAUGGCUAUGGCAGGUUAGUUUGCAGAGAUAUGGAAGUCAUUUCUGUGGAGGAAGCCUUAUCAGCAAAAAUGUGGUUUAUGCCACACUGUUUCUUCCCCAGGAUAACUUCCCCAACAUAGUUCUGCAUGUAGCACUGUAGUAACACAAUGAUGUGAGGUGACAAAAUGAACAACUGUGCUGUGACUGAACAAACAACUCAAAGAUUUCAAAGCAGACUGUGGUUUCAGGAUAUUCUGUCCAAGCUAUUUGGAAGAAGCACAAAGAAAUGGGCAAUGUUGAGGACAGAAGCUAAUUCAGCAGGUGAAAGAUACAUCAUGCUUACUUCCCUUUGACACUGGAGAUGUCCAGCAGUGCCAUCAGCAAAUAACUGGCAGAAACCAGUGGAACCCAGGUACAUCAAUCUACCCUCCAGAGAAGUCUGGCCAGAAGUCUUCUAAUGUGGAAAAAAACUAAGGGACUCAACUAUGCAUGAACACAUAGGAACUGAGGAACUGAGAAAAAUGGCAGCAGGUUUCUGGAAUGAUGAAUCAAAUUUUAAAUAUUUGACUGUAUCAAGAGGCAGGUUGUUUGCCAAAGGGCAAGAGAGUGGUACGAUAAUGAGUGCAACAGUGAAGCAUGGUGAAGGUUCCUUGCAAGUUUGAGGCUGCAUUUUUUGCAAAUAGAGAUUUGGUCAGGAUUAAUGGUGUCCUCAAUGCUGAGAAAUGCAGGCAGAUACUUAUCUAUCAUGCAUUCACAUCAGGGAGAUGUAUGAUUGGGCCCCGUUUUUAUUCUGCAGCAGAACAACGACCCCAAACAUACAGCCAAUGUCAUUAAGAACUAUCUUCAGCAUAUUCCUGGAAGUGAUGGUUUGGCUCCCACAGAACCCUGAUCUUAACAUCAUCCAGACUACAUGAAGAGACAGUAGGAUUUGGGGUAGGCUACAUCCAUAGAAGAUCUGUGGUUGGUUCACCAAGAUGUUUGGAACAACCUUGCCGAGUUUCUUCAAAAACUGUGUGCAAGUCUAUCUAGAAGAAUUGAAGCUGUUUUGCAGGUGAAGGCUGGUCACACCAAAUAUUGACUUGAUUUGGAUUUCUCUGUUCAUUUACUUUCCAUUUUGUUAACUAAUAAGUAGACUAUUACCACUUUUUCUGAUAGUGUUCCUACUUCACAUCAUUUUUUCACACCUGCCUAAAACCUUUGCACAGUACUCUAAAUAUAAUGUUUGCCAUGGGCGUCGCUAGGCCAUUUCUAGUGGGGCUUUAGCCCCCCUAACAUUUCUACUCAGCCCUCUUAAAAUUCUUCAUAAACUGUACACAAAUUGGUGAUCACCUCAGUCCCCUUUAAAUUUCAUAUGAAAACGGCGGCAGACUUCGGCUCUUUCACGUCUUUCAGUGCGUUCUUCAAUCCGCAGACCGCGGUGUCGCAGAGCGAGAUUCAGAGGCUUGUUCAGUAUUAUUUGGCUUGUUCAGUACUCAAAUGUUAUACACAUCUAUGCAAUACAGUGGAUUGCUGCAAUAAGUUUACCAUCCUACCGUCAAACAUUCAUUCAUUAAUUAAUUACUUAAUUCAUUCAUUCAUUCAUUCAUUCAUUCAUUCAUUCAUUCAUUCAUUCAUUCAUUCAUUCAUUCAUUCAUUCAUUCAUUCAUUCAUUCAUUCAUUCAUUUAUUUAUUUAUUUAUUUAUUACUAUUAUAGCCUGAUUGGGUAUAAUAGAGCCCCCCCUUAAAUGAAAAUUCUAGAAUCGCCCCUGAUGUUUGCUAUUACUCAUGAAAACCUCGCGUGACACAAUAAGCAAUACAUCAAGCCUUUCAGUGUUUAAAAAGGAUGUGGGUGUGGUAUUUGCUACUACUAACUAUGAACUUUAUGGCUUCAUGGUAGAAAAGCAUUUAAAAUAAUAUGUAAUAAAGAUAAGUAAGCACUAUUUAGACAACUGAAUUUGAACAAGAAUUUUGUGUAUUAGGAAAAUGUGGGAGGGGCUGGCUAAAGACUUUCUGUGAUUCCCAGUAAAUAGCUCAGUAAUGUAAGUCUGCGAAUCCUAUACUGCGAAUCCUACAAUAGACCUAACUUUGUGUAAGUGAAUGCUAGAAACAUGCUAGAUCAUGGACAGCUCCAUCUGGAAGUAGAAAGUGUGGCAAAAUUUCUAAAGCAUGACACAGCAAAAUAAUCAAGGGUAUCAUCAAUACUUGGCAGAAGAUCCUUCUUGGAAGUCCUUCUUGGUCGUGUGGUUAAAAUGGCAGAAAUCUGUGCAAAAUUGUCAGUUACCAUAUUCUGGUUUGACAGAAACUGUGGGGCUCUCUGAUAGAGGAGAUCUGGAGGAAUUUUAUCUAUCUAUCUAUCUAUCUAUCUAUCUAUCUAUCUAUCUAUCUAUCUAUCUAUCUAUCUAUCUAUCUAUCUAUCUAUCUAUCUAUCUAUCUAUCUAUCUAUCUAUCUAUCUAUCUAUCUAUCUAUC